ensembl:ncRNA F28E10.9 ncRNA
CUCAGAGCACAUACACACCCAGCCAGCACGACGCUGCUUCUGUGGACGGACGGCUCUCAGUUUUUCGUGAAUUAUGCACAGACUCUUUCUGUCGUCGGGUGUGUGUGGUGCAGAAGCUUUCAGUGGGAUCCGGUUCAGAAAUUAAUGUCC